rnacentral:antisense_RNA from 1 species
AAUAACCAAAGAUCACCGCUGGAUUAAGGGUAGGGUUAGUGAUUAUGCGUACAUCUCCGCCACCGGGAGCCCAGGUAUCAUAGACUCCACCAAAGAACAUGGCUUUUAGUACCAACAACAGGGCUCCACAUCCGAGGAUGAUCAGGUGGAAACCAAUGAUGUUGGUCAUUUUAUUCUUGUCUUUCCA